AACCCUUCAUUCACAGCAGUAAAUCAACUUCAGAUUACAAGGUUUGAACUUCAUUUCACAACAUAUUAAAUAAUAAACUGAUUUAUGCUAAAAAUUUAAACUAACUAACAGGCAAACCAAAUCAUCUUCCGUACGAGUUUAUGAUCAUAACACAGGACGACUUAUUUUUGGGCAAAACCAUACAUCCCGAUGCUUUAAAAUACAGACUGCAUAUCACUCAGUUUGUCUCCAACUUAUACUUACCCUAAUGACUAUUUCAACACAAAAUCAUCACCAAACAAGAACACCUAUUUCAACAAAAAUUAAAACUCAAAUGCUCGAAUAAGUCUGUUGUUGCAGCCCCCUAACAGUCCCAUAAUACCAUACAAUGAUAAGGACUAAGCUAUUAAAACACAGAAUAAAAAAAGAAAAAUACAGUUGAAACACGAAUAACUGAUACUACGCUUUUAAAAUUUUCUGCUUUUCAUUUUUUCAUUCCUCAUAUCCAACUUCACAAUCAAUAGGGCUUAAAUGUGUACCUGAAAGUUGAAAUAGAAACAAAAGGGUGAGGAAUCAGCCAAGCAGCAACAACAAAGUGCCCAGAUCCACACAACCAAAUAGUGAAAUCGAUUCAGAAAAACCAAUAGAGCAGUAAACCAAAUAACAAGCUUCAAACCAAGCCUUUGAAAACUAAAUUCAACCCAUUUCAAGCCUCAGACGAGUCAAAAUUUAUUUCAGAAAUUGAAAACUUCAAAAUCACAGAAGAAAGUUCAAUGAAACAGUCAUUUUGUGUUGAAAAUUUUAGCCGUUUCUAUUUUUCUGGAUUUUUAUCUCUUCAAGUCCGAUCCCUAAAGAAUUCAGCUAAUGGAGCUUUUAUACAAGGGAAUUAGGGCAGCCAAAGAAUUUUUAGAGUUUGCUCUUUUACCCUUUUAAUAUUUUCAUUCUAGCUUAGAGGACCUUAGUCUAAAAAUCAGAAAAUCAAAUUGGUCCCCACCCCAAUUUCCUAGAAGUUUCCUUAGGCUGUUACAAAGAUUCCUAUUCCUAAAAUACCCAAGUUACCCUCUAAUCCUUCAUUAUUUACCCCAUGCAAAACCAAUAUGGGUCCAAAUAAACUGCAUCCAGGCCUAAACCUUGUGUUGGCUACCAGAGUUUCCCCUUCCCCACUUUGGGCUUCCUCUUUACAAAGCUCAAACGUAAUUAAGGAAAAACCAGCGCAAUUUUAUAAAACAUCAAUAAAAUGACAAAAAUUACAACACCACUAAAGCUAUGAACAACGAAACUUUUAAAACAAACAGAAAAAGGAAAAGGAAUAAACGGAAAAGAAAAGAAUUCAGCAUGAACAAAUAAUGAUUUUACUAAACUAUCGAUGCUGAUUUAUCAUACAAGAAUUAAUGCUUGAAACCAAACUAAGAUAACGAACAACGAAAGAAGAAAAGACUGAAAAUUACAGUAAAGAGGGGAAAGAUGUACCAGGCUCUAACAGAGGAUUGACGAGAGGAUUGACGAUUCAGAGAAAUCAAUGGCUAAAGAGGAUCCGGUAAAUGGCGAGAAUUGUAACAUGAGAAUUAACCGAAAUUUCUUCGACGACUAAUGCUCCAUAUCACAAUCCUCGACACCUACUCUGAAAUGAGAUGAACUAGAAACUUGGAACACAGAUUGCUUGACCAAAAACUGUCUGCCAUGACGGGCCUUGAAAUUGACUAAAUAACCAGCUAAUCCCACGUGAUAAUACCAAAAGAAGCAAAUAAAGUAGAAACACAAAGGAAAUCAGAGAAGAUGGAGCAACCGGAUUUUCUGCCUUCCGAGAUUUGAAAUUCACGAGAAUCGGGUGACUUUUGGAGAAACCCAGUGGUGGAUUUGGAAUGGAGAGGCAACAAGGGUUAUCUGGUCAUGUUUCGAGGGGGGUUGGAGAUCAACCGCCGCCGCUGGCGAUUUCCGGUGGUGGCGGACGGUGGUGAGAGAUGAGAAUGACAGAGACGAUAUAAUGAGGGGUCUUAGGUUAUGGUUUGGUCGUUUGGACAAUUUUAUGUGAAAUGGGGGAAGUGUCUAUAGCCGUUAGAUGAAAUGAAAUAGAGGGCCUGGAUCGACUC
rnacentral:lncRNA from 1 species